UGUGGUUGUCGUUUGUUGAUGUGUUAAAUAUUUGUUUUUCACUAUUUUUUUUUUACAUUAUUUACAUAGGCCGUUAGUUUUCUCGUUUAAACUGUUUAACCUUUGUCAUUUCGGGGACUUUUAUUGCUGACUAUGCGGCAUGAACUUCGGUCAUUGUUGAAGGCCGUACAGUGACCUAUAUUUGUUCAUUUCUCUGGUUUAUUUGGUCUCUUGUGGAGAGUUGUCUCAAUGGCUAUUACACUAAAGUUUCUUUAUACUUGGUCGAUCAUUUAAGCAGUUUUUCAACUUACGAAUUCGAA
rnacentral:lncRNA from 1 species